CGGAGGGCGUAGCGUUGUUCGGAAUUACUGGGCGUAAAGCGCACGUAGGCGGACUGGAAAGUUGGGGUGGAAAUACCCGGGGCGUCAACCUCGGAACUGCCUUCAAAACUAAUCAGUCUGGAGUUCGAGAGAGGUGAGUGGAAUUCCGAGUGUAGAGGUGAAAUUCGUAGAUAUUCGGAGGAACACCAGUGGCGAAGGCGGCUCACUGGCUCGAUACUGACGCUGAGGUGCGAAAGCGUGGGGAGCAAACAGGAUU
rnacentral:rRNA from 1 species